rnacentral:rRNA from 1 species
UACAGAGGUGGCAAGCGUUGUUCGGAAUUACUGGGCGUAAAGAGCGUGUAGGCGGCCCGAUAAGUCCGCCGUGAAAGUCCAGGGCUCAACCCUGGGAUGCCGGUGGAAACUGUCGGGCUAGAGUCCGGAAGAGGCGAGUGGAAUCCCUGGUGUAGCGGUGAAAUGCGCAGAUAUCAGGAGGAACACCAAUGGCGAAGGCAGCUCGCUGGGACGGUACUGACGCUGAGACGCGAAAGCGUGGGGAGCAAACAGG